GGGAAUGGAUAGGUUCUGGUGGACCUCGAGGACUUCAAAUCCUUCUGCCGGGUGCUGAAACCAUCCGGGGUGGGUUCGAUUCCCACACGUUCCCGCCA
rnacentral:tRNA from 2 species